rnacentral:rRNA from 1 species
CCUACGGGGUGCAGCAGUGAGGAAUAUUGGUCAAUGGGCUUACGCCUGAACCAGCCAAGUCGCGUGAGGGAAGACUGCCCUAUGGGUUGUAAACCUCUUUUGUCAGGGAACAAAGGCGGGGACUAGUCCCCGGAUGAGGGUACCUGAAGAAAAAGCAUCGGCUAACUCCGUGCCAGCAGCCGCGGUAAUACGGAGGAUGCGAGCGUUAUCCGGAUUUAUUGGGUUUAAAGGGUGCGUAGGCGGACUGUUAAGUCAGCGGUAAAAGCCCGGGGCUCAACCCCGGCGAGCCGUUGAAACUGGCUGUCUUGAGAUGUCGAGAGGUAUGCGGAAUGCGCAGUGUAGCGGUGAAAUGCUUAGAUAUUGCGCAGAACUCCGAUUGCGAAGGCAGCAUACCGGCGGCGAUCUGACGCUGUGGCACGAAAGCGUGGGUAUCGAACAGGAUUAGAUACCCGGGUAGUC